GACGAACGCUGGCGGCGUGCUUAACACAUGCAAGUCGAGCGGAAAGGCCCUUUCGGGGGUACUCGAGCGGCGAACGGGUGAGUAACACGUGAGUAAUCUGCCCUUGGCUUUGGGAUAACCACCGAAAACGGUGGCUAAUACCGGAUAUGACGCGCCCCGGCAUCGGGGUGUGUGGAAAGUUUUUUCGGCCAGGGAUGUCCCGGCGGCCUAUCAGCUUGUUGGUGGGGUAAUGGCCUACCAAGGCUUCGACGGGUAGCCGGCCUGAGAGGGUGACCGGCCACACUGGGACUGAGACACGGCCCAGACUCCUACGGGAGGCAGCAGUGGGGAAUAUUGGACAAUGGGCGGAAGCCUGAUCCAGCAACGCCGCGUGAGGGAUGACGGCCUUCGGGUUGUAAACCUCUUUCAGUACCGACGAAGCGCCGAUGAUGGUGGUGACGGUAGGUACAGAAGAAGCACCGGCCAACUACGUGCCAGCAGCCGCCGUAA
rnacentral:rRNA from 1 species